rnacentral:piRNA from 1 species
CACUUUCUUAUGUAUAAAGGUGGUAGAAACUU